rnacentral:misc_RNA from 1 species
UCUCCGUAGGUGAACCUGCGGAGGGAUCAUUACCGAGUUGGCGCGCUCCGGCGCGCGAUCUCCCAACCCUUUGUUUUAAAACCCUCUCUCUGCCUCGGGGGUGACCCUGUCCUCUGCGAGGGCCGGGGCCCCCGGUGGCUCACACCUCAACUCUUGCAUCUGUGCGUCUGAGUAACAUAUUGAAUCAAUCAAAACUUUCAACAACGGAUCUCUUGGUUCUGGCAUCGAUGAAGAACGCAGC